rnacentral:rRNA from 1 species
AUUGAACGCUGGCGGCAGGCCUAACACAUGCAAGUCGAACGGUAACAGGAAGAAGCUUGCUUCUUUGCUGACGAGUGGCGGACGGGUGAGUAAUGUCUGGGAAACUGCCUGAUGGAGGGGGAUAACUACUGGAAACGGUAGCUAAUACCGCAUAACGUCGCAAGACCAAAGAGGGGGACCUUCGGGCCUCUUGCCAUCGGAUGUGCCCAGGUGGGAUUAGCUAGUAGGUGGGGUAACGGCUCACCUAGGCAACGAUCCCUAGCUCGUCUGAGAGGAUGACCAGCCACACUGGAACUGAGACACGGUCCAGACUCCUACGGGAGGCAGCAGUGGGGAAUAUUGCGCAAUGGGCGCAAGCCUGAUGCAGCCAUGCCGCGUGUAUGAAGAAGGCCUUCGGGUUGUAAAGUACUUUCAGCGGGGAGGAAGGGAGUAAAGUUAAUACCUUUGCUCAUUGACGUUACCCGCAGAAGAAGCACCGGCUAACUCCGUG